UCCCUGGUGGCUCAGACGGUAAAGAAUCUGCCUGCAAUGCAGGAGACCCAGGUUUGAUCCCUGGGUUGGGGGG
rnacentral:tRNA from 1 species